GUAGGGAGCGAGCGUUGUCCGGAAUUACUGGGUGUAAAGGGAGCGUAGGCGGGAUCGCAAGUCAGAUGUGAAAACUAUGGGCUUAACCCAUAAACUGCAUUUGAAACUGUGGUUCUUGAGUGAAGUAGAGGUAAGCGGAAUUCCUAGUGUAGCGGUGAAAUGCGUAGAUAUUAGGAGGAACAUCAGUGGCGAAGGCGGCUUACUGGGCUUUAACUGACGCUGAGGCUCGAAAGCGUGGGGAGCAAACAGGAUUAGAUACCCUGGUAGUCCACGCCGUAAACGAUGAUUACUAGGUGUGGGGGGACUGACCCCUUCCGUGCCGCAGCAAACGCAAUAAGUAAUCCACCUGGGGAGUACGACCGCAAGGUUG
rnacentral:rRNA from 1 species